GACCACUCCGGUGGCCUUAGCGGUUAGAACGUCCGCCUCGGACGCGGGAGGUCGCUGCUUCGAUCUACACAGGCCGAGUCA